UUUUUUUUUUUUUUUCCCUAAAAAAGAAACCACACAACUCUUAAUGGCAAAACCACAAUGUUUUUCCCUAUAACAAUGAAAAAGACAUAAGGGAAAUCAGACUUUUAAUAAGGACAUAUAAUUCAAUAGAAGUACUGAGGAUGAGGCUGGAUACUUUAAGAUUAUCCACCAUCCAGUACAAAAUAUGUUUCUUACUAACUGCCCCAUACCAAUUAUUAAAAUAUCAUUCAUACAUUCCAUGCACUGCUUUCAUCUCUGCCACACAUUACAAAAUGUAAUACCAAAGAUAAGGAACCAUCAAUAGCAGCCCCACUGCUCUCAAUAAAUCUGCUUUCUACUCCUCUAAGAAACAACACCAACAUCUGGAUUACUCUUUAGCUAUUUGCAGUAGCAAAUCCUUAUCUUUAGUCUGAAUUCUGGAAUAAAUUCAUAUAAACAAAGGCUAGUGUAAGAAUAUUGAAAUGCAUUUUAUUUAUCUGCAUGGGAACAUGCUAUUUUGCCCAUAAACAAGGGAACUGUCAUAUUUAAAUAUUUCUCUAGUACAGUCAUAAAUCCCUUGUAAAUGAAUGUCUGAGCUCUCUCUUUGAACUUUAUCUUGCCUUUACAGAAAUGUAUUGUCUGUGGUUUGGUCUUUUGAUUUUUAAAUUUUUUUAGUUGUCUGCUGUCUGUUUUGUUUUUUUGUCUGCUGUCUGUCUUGCAGUUAUCUGUGCCUCGUUGAGUAAUCCUAUGUUACAAGUGAAGACAGUAUGUCUACAAACAUAGGUAUAUAGGAGGAGUUACACUGGAAAAAUUAUACACCUGUCAUCCUUAUCCCAGGUCUAGUGAAGUCAAAAGCAGUUUUUACCCACUCCAUUUAUUUUUAAUUAAGCGUUCUAAAAGCUUUUUUUUUUUCCCUCACAUCAAUAGAGCUGAUGUGUAAUGUAAAACUCAGAAUAGUUGUUAGAAUGAGUUCCAUAGGUCUGGUGAAACACUUGUCUCCGUAGCUUAAUACGAUAGAAAAGAAAAAAAAGAGAAAGAAAAAGGAAUUUCACUAGAGUCUACUGGGUCUUGAAAACCUAGUACUGGAAUCCAAGAAUUUCACUCAUUAGGCUGUGGUAC
rnacentral:lncRNA from 1 species